UACGUAGGGUGCGAGCGUUGUCCGGAAUUAUUGGGCGUAAAGAGCUCGUAGGCGGCUUGUCGCGUCGGAUGUGAAAGCCCGGGGCUUAACUCCGGGUCUGCAUUCGAUACGGGCAGGCUAGAGUUCGGUAGGGGAGAUCGGAAUUCCUGGUGUAGCGGUGAAAUGCGCAGAUAUCAGGAGGAACACCGGUGGCGAAGGCGGAUCUCUGGGCCUGUUCUGACGCUGAGGCGCGAAAGCUAGGGGAGCGAACAGG
rnacentral:rRNA from 1 species